AUCUUCCGCAAUGGACGAAAGUCUGACGGACCAACGGCGCGUGUGUGAUGAAGGUCUCCGGAUCUUAAAACUCUGUUGCUAGGGCAGAACAUGUAUCGUUCGAAUAGGGCGGCACCUUGACUGUACCUAACCAGAAAGCCACCGCGAACGACGUGCCAGCAGCCGCGGUAAUACGUAGGUGGCAAGCGUUAUCCGGAAUUAUUGGGCGGAAAGCGCGCGCAGGCGGUUUCUUAAGUCUGAUGUGAAAGCCCACGGCUCAACCGUGGGGGGUCAUUGGAAACUGGGAAGCUUGAGUGCAGAAGAGGAGAGUGGAAUUCCAUGUGUAGCGGUGAAAUGCGUAGAAAUAUGGAGAAACACCAGUGGCGAAGGCGACUCUCUGGUCUGCAACUGACGCUGAGGCGCGAAAGCGUGGGGAGCGAACA
rnacentral:rRNA from 1 species